rnacentral:rRNA from 1 species
UACGAAGGGGGCUAGCGUUGUUCGGAAUCACUGGGCGUAAAGCGCACGUAGGCGGACUUUCAAGUCAGGGGUGAAAUCCUGGAGCUCAACUCCAGAACUGCCUUUGAUACUGAAGAUCUUGAGUUCGGGAGAGGUGAGUGGAACUGCGAGUGUAGAGGUGAAAUUCGUAGAUAUUCGCAAGAACACCAGUGGCGAAGGCGGCUCACUGGCCCGAUACUGACGCUGAGGCACGAAAGCGUGGGGGAGCAAACAGGA